rnacentral:miRNA from 1 species
UCAGCUUAAUAACUGGGCG